rnacentral:sRNA from 1 species
CUGAUCCACACUUCCAAUCACUUCCCGGAGUGCUUCCCCUCCCUCCGGCCCGUGCUGGUCCCGACGGCGGGCCUGGGUCUCGCGCGCGUAUUGCUGGGUAACGGGCCUUCUCCCGCGUCGGCCCGGCCCCUCCUGCCUCGGCUUGUCCCUCCUUCCAGAACGUCCCGGGCUCCUGCCGAGUCAGAAGAAAUGGGACUCCCUCCGCGACGUGCCCGGAGCAGCUCCCUUCGCUGUGGAAGCGGCGGUGUCUUCGAAGAAACCGGAAGCCCGUGGUGACCCCUGGCGACCCGGUUUGUUUUCGGUCCGUUUCCAAACACUAAGGAAUCGAAACUCGGCGGCCUUGGGGGCGGCCCUACGUAGCCUGGCUUCUGGUUGUCAUGGAUGCACUGGUAGAAGAUGAUAUCUGUAUUCUGAAUCAUGAAAAAGCCCAUAAGAGAGAUACAGUGACUCCAGUUUCAAUAUAUUCAGGAGAUGAAUCUGUUGCUUCCCAUUUUGCUCUUGUCACUGCAUAUGAAGACAUCAAAAAACGACUUAAGGAUUCAGAGAAAGAGAACUCUUUGUUAAAGAAGAGAAUAAGAUUUUUGGAAGAAAAGCUAAUAGCUCGAUUUGAGGAAGAAACAAGUUCCGUGGGACGAGAACAAGUAAAUAAGGCCUAUCAUGCAUAUCGAGAGGUUUGCAUUGAUAGAGAUAAUUUGAAGAGCAAACUGGACAAAAUGAAUAAAGACAACUCUGAAUCUUUGAAAGUAUUGAAUGAGCAGCUACAAUCUAAAGAAGUAGAACUCCUCCAGCUGAGGACAGAGGUGGAAACUCAGCAGGUGAUGAGGAAUUUAAAUCCACCUUCAUCAAACUGGGAGGUGGAAAAGUUGAGCUGUGACCUGAAGAUCCAUGGUUUGCAACAAGAGCUGGAACUGAUGAGGAAAGAAUGUAGCGAUCUCAAAAUAGAACUACAGAAAGCCAAACAAACGGAUCCAUAUCAGGAAGACAAUCUGAAGAGCAGAGAUCUCCAAAAACUAAGCAUUUCAAGUGAUAAUAUGCAGCAUGCAUACUGGGAACUGAAGAGAGAAAUGUCUAAUUUACAUCUGGUGACUCAAGUACAAGCUGAACUACUAAGGAAACUGAAAACCUCAACUGCAAUCAAGAAAGGCAAGUCACUGUUUACCGGAAACCACUGAUUCCAGCCAAACUGCCUGAAGAGCAACUAGCUGUCAUAUCUUAUCAAAAUCUCAUCAAAUGAGAGAUUGAUAAGCCAAAGUAUAUAUAGUACAUUCGCAGCCUACCCAUUCUCUGCUUUGGCUUCAGUCUCAUACUGGUCAACUUCACACAUAAAGGUGUUGCUGAUGUGUUUUUUCUUCAGUACUGUAUUCUUUUCCCCUUGUGGCUUUUCUCAGCCAAGUGUUGCUUAUGUGUAUAAGACUGAGGUGUUAAGUUUGCUCUAGUUGACCUUUUACCACAGCUACUUCAUAUAUUUGAAAAAAAAAAAAA